AACGACUGCUAAGCCCCGAUGAACCGAAAGGGAAAAUAUUUAUAGCUUGAAGAUGAGCUUGCGUCUGAUUAGCUAGUUGGUGAGGGUAAAGGCCCACCAAGGCGACGAUCAGUAGCCGGUCUGAGAGGAUGAACGGCCACAUUGGGACUGAGACACGGCCCAGACUCCUACGGGAGGCAGCAGUGGGGAAUCUUCCGCAAUGGGACGAAAGCCUGACGGAGCAACGCCGCGUGAACGAUGAAGGUCUUAGGAUCGUAAAGUUCUGUUGUUAGGGACGAAGGGUAAGAAUCAUAAUAAGGUUUUAU
rnacentral:rRNA from 1 species